UCCGAGUUGUCCCCGGCAGUCCUCUUAGAGUCCCCGGCAUUACCCGCUGGCAACUAAAAGCAGGGGUUGCGCUCGUUGCGGCACUUAAGCCAACACCUCACGGCACGAGCUGACGACAGCCAUGCAGCACCUGUGCUAGCCCCAAAAGGACACGGGCUUUCACCCGCUUUAACUAGCAUGUCAAGCCUAGGUAAGGUUCUUCGCGUUGCAUCGAAUUAAGCCACAUGCUCCGCCGCUUGUGCGGGUCCCCGUCAAUUCCUUUGAGUUUUAAUCUUGCGGCCGUACUCCCCAGGCGGCGGACUUACCGCGUUGGCUGCGGCACCGGGGGGGUCGAUACCCCCGACACCUAGUCCGCAUCGUUUACGGCGUGGACUAC
rnacentral:misc_RNA from 1 species